UUUUUUUUUUUUUUUUUUUUACAAAAAAAGGUCAAGAUGCAUAAAAGUUUUCUGUAAAAAUUCUCACUCGACACCAACAACAAAACGAUUAGAAAGUAAGUUGUAUCAGUUCCAACUAAACUAACCCAAAAUCAUAGAUAUCCAACGUUCUAUGAUAGAAAAAUUUUUGAAAUAAUAACAUAAAACAAAAAGAUAUCAUAAUAACCAGGGAAAAUAAACAAAGAUAACAUAAACAAACAAAAUCUAGUCUCCUCAGUCUUCUUCAACAACAGUCCCUUUCUCACU
rnacentral:misc_RNA from 1 species